UUAUAGCCCCGAUUGCAGUGGAAAAUCCUUUUUGCGAGAGGCUAUGCCGAGCAAAAAGAUUAUAACGAAAAGCGGGAUAACGC
rnacentral:sRNA from 1 species